AAGCACUUCAUAAAGUUUACUUUAAGAAGUGACUUAGUGGCGGACGGGUGAGUAACGCGUGGGUAACCUGCCUUACACAGGGGGAUAACAGUUAGAAAUGACUGCUAAUACCGCAUAAAACAGCAGAGUCGCAUGACUCAACUGUCAAAGAUUUAUCGGUGUAAGAUGGACCCGCGUCUGAUUAGCUGGUUGGCGGGGUAACGGCCCACCAAAGCGACGAUCGGUAGCCGACCUGAGAGGGUGAUCGGCCACAUUGGGACUGAGACACGGCCCAAACUCC
rnacentral:rRNA from 1 species